UACGUAGGGGGCAAGCGUUGUCCGGAAUCAUUGGGCGUAAAGAGCGCGUAGGCGGUCCGAUAAGUCGGCUGUGAAAGUCAGGGGCUCAACCCUUGAAAGCCGGCCGAUACUGUCGGACUAGAGUUCGGAAGAGGCGAGUGGAAUUCCCGGUGUAGCGGUGGAAUGCGCAGAUAUCAGGAGGAACACCAAUAGCGAAGGCAGCUCGCUGGGACGUUACUGACACUGAGGCGCGAAAGCGUGGGGAGCGAACAGG
rnacentral:rRNA from 1 species